rnacentral:tRNA from 1 species
GCUGGACGUAGCUCAGUGGUAGAGUGCUUGCCUAGAAUGCACGAGGCCCUGGGUUCCAUCCCCAGCAACA